CUUUGCGACACGCGUUCCGCGCAGUUCUCCCCCGUCCGAAAAGACGGGACAAAAUCCGCAACGGGCGCGAUCGUCGUUCUUUCCGAGUCACGAGGCAACCCGACGGGCCAACAAGGGGAGAAAAACCCCGCCCGCAUAACUUUCCGCAUCCGAAACCACGAGCAACAGACACAUGCGCCAACGCAGCCGAUUCAAGGCGUGCAUGGAACACGUGCAUCGCUACCAGGUUGGCCCCAUGCCGUGAUAGGCAAAGGGCGAAGGGGCACAGGCAUCACAUUCGAUUUCCACCGUAGUGGGUAAGCAACACAGGAACCGAGCAUGGCCGCGAAAAAAGAUUCGGGCCUUAGCAACUGAAGGGACCGCGGGAAAACAGUUCGGUGCGCGAAGCAUGGAGCCUGCCUUCCCAAACGGUCGUAACACCACUCACGCGC
rnacentral:misc_RNA from 1 species